CCUACGGGUGGCUGCAGCAAGGGAUUUUCCCCAAUGGGCGCAAGCCUGAGGGAGCAACGCCGCGUGGAGGAUGACGGCUUUCGGGUUGUAAACUCCUUUUGGGUGGGACGAUCAUGACGGUACCAUCCGAAUCAGCCCCGGCUAACUCUGUGCCAGCAGCCGCGGUAAGACAGAGGGGGCAAGCGUUGUCCGGACUUACUGGGCGUAAAGGGCCCGUAGGUGGCCCGCUGCGUCGGUGCUGAAAGCGCCCGGCUUAACCGGGCGAGGCGUGCCGA
rnacentral:rRNA from 1 species